rnacentral:rRNA from 1 species
UUCCGGUUGAUCCCGCCGGAGGUUACUGCUAUCGGCGUUCGCCUAAGCCAUGCGAGUCAUAUGUUCUUCGUGAACAUGGCGUACUGCUCAGUAACACGUGGAUAACCUGCCCUUGGGUCCGGCAUAACCCCGGGAAACUGGGGAUAAUACCGGAUAACGCACAUAUGCUGGAAUGCUUUAUGCGUAAAAUGGAUUCGUCUGCCCAAGGAUGGGUCUGCGGCCUAUCAGGUAGUAGUGGGUGUAAUGUACCUACUAGCCGACAACGGGUACGGGUCGUGAGAGCAAGAGCCCGGAGAUGGAUUCUGAGACAUGAAUCCAGGCCCUACGGGGCGCAGCAGGCGCGAAAACUUUACAAUGCGGGAAACCGUGAUAAGGGGACACCGAGUGCCAGCAUCAUAUGCUGGCUGUCCGGGUGUGUAAAAUACACUCGUUAGCAAGGGCCGGGCAAGACCGGUGCCAGCCGCCGCGGUAACACCGGCGGCCCGAGUGGUGAUCGUGAUUAUUGGGUCUAAAGGGUCCGUAGCCGGUUUGGUCAGUCCUCCGGGAAAUCUGAUAGCUCAACUAUUAGGCUUUCGGGGGAUACUGCCAGACUUGGGACCGGGAGAGGUAAGAGGUACUACAGGGGUAGGAGUGAAAUCUUGUAAUCCCUGUGGGACCACCUGUGGCGAAGGCGUCUUACCAGAACGGGUUCGACGGUGAGGGACGAAAGCUGGGGGCACGAACCGGAUUAGAUACCCGGGUAGUCCCAGCCGUAAACGAUGCUCGCUAGGUGUCAGGCAUGGCGCGACCGUGUCUGGUGCCGCAGGGAAGCCGUGAAGCGAGCCACCUGGGAAGUACGGCCGCAAGGCUGAAACUUAAAGGAAUUGGCGGGGGAGCACAACAACGGGUGGAGCCUGCGGUUUAAUUGGAUUCAACGCCGGA